rnacentral:rRNA from 1 species
AAGCGGUGGAGCAUGUGGUUUAAUUCGAUGCUACGCGAAGAACCUUACCAGGUCUUGACAUCUUCUGCCAACCUAAGAGAUUAGGCGUUCCCUUCGGGGACAGAAUGACAGGUGGUGCAUGGUUGUCGUCAGCUCGUGUCGUGAGAUGUUGGGUUAAGUCCCGCAACGAGCGCAACCCUUAUUGUUAGUUGCCAGCAUUCAGUUGGGCACUCUAGCAAGACUGCCGGUGACAAACCGGAGGAAGGUGGGGAUGACGUCAAAUCAUCAUGCCCCUUAUGACCUGGGCUACACACGUGCUACAAUGGACGGUACAACGAGUUGCGAAACCGCGAGGUCAAGCUAAUCUCUUAAAGCCGUUCUCAGUUCGGAUUGUAGGCUGCAACUCGCCUACAUGAAGUUGGAAUCGCUAGUAAUCGUGGAUCAGCAUGCCACGGUUAAUACGUUCCCGGGCCUUGUACACACCGCCCGUCACACCAUGAGAGUUUGUAACACCCAAAGCCGGUGAGGUAACCUUCGGGGACCAGCCGUCUAAGGUGGGACAGAUGAUUAGGGUGAAGUCGUAACAAGGUAACC